UCCUUCUCAUAUGAGGUUGUGCAUGUUCAUUUUGUAUCAUACUUCACUGAAAAUUACAAAACUUAGACAUUCUUUAACAUCAUGCUACAUAUUAUGAGUUGGAGGAUAUUCUCCGUCACAAUUAUUACAAAACUUCUUUGACUAGACAGCAAUGACACUUUUUUAGCUGAUAGUAUUUUUAUAUGGAUUAGAAGAUGUUAUUUUCCAUUUUCCAUUCUCUUAAUGAUUCUAGUAUGGCAGUUGUCAGUUGCUGGCAUUAUUAUAUGCACUAAGUAAAUCCAGGAAAAGGUUUACUUAAUGACCACACUUCCAUGACUAAAAUGCAUUUUUAUUUGUGUAGAGGUCUAUAAAAAAAUUGAUAAAAUUCUUGAUUUUCUCGUUUUUGCGAUUCCUACAGGACCCCAUGCAAUCACACAUCUGUACACAGCGGACAACAAGAGGCUCUCUGGUCAGCUGGGCCUGGACGCCCGGCGACAAUUCCUUGGUGUAGGGGGUGAGCUCUUGGGCCAGGAAUUUGGGGCAAAGCUCAAGGAGGCUCCAACUUCCCUUCUCAGGGGGCGAGAUUACCUCAUCUACAAGAUUGUUAUGGAAAGAGUUUCACAGUCGUUCAAAUAAUUUUUGGUAAGAACAGCAUGUCACUUAACAAGCACCCUACCCUGAAAACCUCCCUGAGCUAAUGAACAGUUCAACUGCACCAAACGUGACCCUUAAGAGAAAUGAGAUUCCAAGAAAUGUCAAACAGGUACCAAUCUAGGUACCAGCAGCCUCAGUCGUGGGGAACUGGUUCAUGAUGUACCCAUGGUCUUAAUGAUCGCUGAACAUCUCAACAACACAACAACAGUAUAGCAACAUGAACUGCAAGGACAACAUAUCAAUGAACGUGGCUCCAUUCCCAGAAAAACACGCCAAGCUAAUGAUCAGUGUCAUUGCGCCAAACAUGAUCCUUCAAGUAUACUUGGAGCCCAAUGUCGCUUCAACAGCGAUCGCCAAGCCUGAGCCUUGUGAGCUCAGGGGAAAGGGUCAUGAUGCACAUGGGCUUGCAACUUUCCCUAGGCUUCUCUCAGUAGCAGUGGAACAACAUGGCAGCCCAGCAAGGGGCCUCCCAAUACAACAACUGUCACAGAUCAUUGUCUGGUGGCACUCAGCUUAAGACGUCGCCAAAUCAGUGCUUCAUGUUCAACAACCCACCAUAUACUAGCAACCAGACCACAAUCGCACCGCAACAACAACAGCACCAGCAGCAACACUCGGUUCAGCUGUCUUCAAUGUUUUGACAAUAACCUUCAGGCAGCAGUUUAUUACAACGCCUGCUCAUGGGUAAACCUGCUUUUUCCAAAACCCAUUUGGUUCCCAGGGCCUUGACUGUGACCCUCUUCACAUCAUGCCAAGCGCCAUGUUUCCCCCUGGUCAACAGCACCAUAUUUAUGGCGACAAAAUUGGCUACAAAAUCCUUGACGUCAACCCAGUACUCCCUUUGGGGUAAAGCAAUGUGCCCCUAGAUAUAAACAUCGUCACAGAUCUCUCUCCAAUGGCUUGAAGCUGUACACAUCACCAAACACCGCUUCAUAUUAAGCUACCAGCAGUAUCCAUGCAACAAACCCAGUAUUGCCCAGCAACAGCUUCAUCAGCAGCAGUGGUCAAUUAAGCUGUCAACCAUGUUUUGGCAGCCAAGGCGCAGUAGUUUGUUGAAACGUUGACCCACACCUCUCAGAGCAGAUCAGUGGGCUUUGAUGUCGCAGCACAUCAACUCAAAGAGAUCCAUGCGAGGUCAGCCCUCACAACAGUGCCAUACCAUGACGUCCUCCAACUCACCCCAGUACUCACCUUGGUGUCAGGGAAAAAUUCAAGACACUAAUCAACACAAUCAAAUGGGCCAAUCAGAAAGACAGCCUGUUGCAUCAGUUAGUCAUACCUUGGAAGAUCAGUUAUAAAUAAAAUUUAAACACAUGCUACUUUCUUAGUGCCUGCAUUGGUGUGUUAUAGCCUCGCCUUCUGUUGUGAUCAAUUACAAAAAUGGAAGAUCAGAAUUGUGGGAUGGGUUGGAAACGAGUGGCAUAGUUCAAAAUGAAAUUGCAGAAUGAAAGUCAUGUGGCCAACCAUAAAGUAGUGUGGCAUUGUGGCAUGUGACCAGCGAAUACAUUUCAUGUAUUAUGGGCAUUAUAAUGCUGUCAAUGAUUUGAUGUUAAUGAUUUUUGUUAAAUGAAGUCAGCAUAGGUAGUAGAAAUGAAGUGAAUAUUACUUGUUUUAAGAUUCUGUAAUUAUCACUCUUCAUUUUGAUCCAGAUUUUGGAAAAACUAAAUAAAGAGUUCGCAUAUGCUGACUUUCAGCUUAAGCAAAGUUGUUUAAAUAAUACAAGUAACUUGUACAAAUUGUCAUAUUCAUUGUCUUCUUUUCAUUAAAUAAAACAUAUUUCAGUAUUGUUUUACCAGUAAUAUAGCUUGACAUGCUAUUUUUUAAAGAAAGAUUCAAAAUUUUGACACUUCUAUUUUGAUCUUUCUGUAUUUCAGUCUGUAUACAAUACUUAUAAGUUUGCUUAGAGGACUCGGUAUUUUACCAAGAAUCGUGUGUAGUCUCAUACAAUUUAAAAUGCAAAAUAUUAAUUAAUUUACGACAAACUUGUUUUAUCUGCUGUAAAUUGUAAAUUCUGUAUUGACAACUGGUAUUAUUAUUAAAUAUUUACACAAUUUCAUCAUAUUUUAAAAGCUGUAUACAUGUUCAAAACGCUGAUAAUAGACACAAAACCUAUGUUGUCAUUAUUUGAAAGAGGAUUGUUUGAAAUGAAUAAAAUUUGAAAGGUUAUCUUAACUUAAUAUGAUAUGGAAAGACUAUAAUUCUGUGGAAUGUUUUCAAUUAAUUCAUUUAUUAUGAUGAGAUUAUUCGUGAAUACUAACCAACGUUAUAAUUAUAAAUAGCUUAUGGUGGAUAACACACUUAUAACUAACACUUAUCUCUAGUGUUGACGUUUGUAUUCGGACAGAAUAGUUCAUGAUGCUUUGUAUACACUGUGCAGGCUCGUAUUGAAACCAGAUUUUAAUGUGUGUAAAUGUGAUAAGUGAUAUAACUUGACCAAGAUUUUGAAAUCACUUUAGUAUACAGGUAUAUAUAUAUUUACAUUAUGCUCUUCUUGAUAUAUAGCAAAAUGCAUCCAUAGCCGUUGUAAAUUAUUUAUGAUUUGUGUUUUGUUUCAAUUUGAUGAACACACUGAUGUUUUACGUGCAUAUUUUAGUUGAAAGACAAUAAAAAUAACCUUGUUUGUGUGAAUGAUCAUAUGUAACUUGUAAGAUUUUAUAGCUAUAUCAAAAUAAAAUAUAUUGAAAACAAAAAUAUAUUAAGUAAUAGAAACACAUUGUUUUAUACGAUCAUACGUUUAACAUAUCCAAUAACAAUCUCAGCACAUAUUGACAAUAUUUUUAAUUAUGAAGGAAAUCAUGUCAAAAAAUAUUAAUAUGUGGAAAUUUGGAGAACAAUUUCUUAUCAAGUGAGAGCAAUGGGAUGUGCUUGAAAUUGUCAAUAACUGCAAUUUUAAGUAAUAUGUAUUUAGUAGUUUAGGUUAAAUUGAAUUCUCCAUGCUCAACAAACACUUGUGUAUUUGUUAUAACAAAAUUCAUAAUUAAUGAAAUUUGUAAAAAAUCAAUUUGAUAGAAUGACAAUAGAGUGUUGUAAUUCUGACUAAUAUUAAAGCAUGCACUGCACAAUAUAAUAUGGCACUUCAAUAUAUUCAUACACUUUUAUGAUAUUAUUAUACUUGCUAAUUAUUUUAUAUUUGACAUAUAACUGACCCUUAAAAAGUUUUACACAUAUCUUAAGCCAGACUUCCCCAUAAAAUCUGAUUGUUUAUAUUCAAACUUUAAUUCAAAUCAAAUGUGUUUUGUGUUGUUCAACAAGUAAAUAACCUUUGUUUAUGUACAUUUUAUGUCAUAUUUCAAUAACGUAUUAUAUUGAUAUUUACAGUGAGAAUAAAAUACACAUUUUAUUAUGCCCCCCUUCGAAGAAGAGGGGGUAUAUUGCUUUGCACAUGUCGGUCGGUCGGUUGGUCGGUCCGUCCACCAGGUGGUUUCCGGAUGAUAACUCAAGAACGCUUAGGCCUAGGAUCAUGAAACUUCAAAGAUACAUUGAUCAUGACUCGCAGAUGACCCCUAUUGAUUUUGAGGUCACUAGGUCAAAGGUCAAGGUCACCGUGACCCGAAAUAGUAUAAUGGUUUCCGGAUGAUAACUCAAGAACACUUAUGCCUAGGAUCAUAAAACUUGAUAGGGAGAUUGAUCAUGACUUGCAGAUGACCCCUAUUGAUUUUCAGGUCACUAGGUCAAAGGUCAAGGUCACGGUGACCCAAAAUAGUAAAAUAGUUUCUGGAUGAUAACUAAAGAACGCUUAGGCCUAGGAUCAUGAAACUUCAUAGGUAGAUUGAUAAUGACUGGCAGAUGACCCCUAUUGAUUUUCAGGUCACUAGGUCAAAGGUCAAGGUCAUGGUGAUCCGAAAUAGUAAAAUGGUUUCCGGAUGAUAACUCGAGAAUGCUUAUGCCUAGGAUCAUGAAACUUCAUAGGUACAUUGAUCAUGACUCGCAGAUGACCCCUAUUGAUUUUCAGGUCACUAGGUCAAAGGUCAAGGUCACGGUGACCCGAAAUAGUAAAAUGGUUUUCGGAUGAUAACUCAAGAACACUUAUGGCUAGGAUCAUGAAACUUCAUAGGUACAUAAUGAUCAUGACUCACAGAUGACCCCUAUUGAUUAUCAGGUCACUAGGUCAAAGGUUAAGGUCACCGUGACAAAAAACAUAUUCACACAAUGGCUGUCAAUACAACGGAGAGCCCUAAUGGGGGGGUAUGCAUGUUUUACAAACAGCCCUUGUUUUAAUUUGUAUCAUUGUUUAGCUAAAUAAAAUGGUAACCAUGCAAGUGUACAAAUUAUGAUUAUUGGGCUAUAUUGGUAUGAUUAAUUUUUAUAUUUCGCCCAACACCAACGUGACAUUUUGCUAUGGUAAGGCUCUGUUGUAUUAAGUGAAUUGUAUGGAAAUAGCUCCAAGGCCUUUAUGAAGAGCCUGUGUAACACAUCAUGAUCUUUGACUCAUCAAUUGAUUGCAUCAUUUUGUCUCACGUGCGUCAAUAUCAUCAUAUCGUAGAUAACUUCGUCUCUGCUUGUAAGUGAAUUUUAAUUAUUCAUGUUUAGAUAUUUCUCUAAACUGUAAACAUACGUGUUAAAUAACCGUAUCAUUAUUUUACUGUCUGUGUAAUUAAAUUAAAUAUUUUCUAUAGUAUUCUGUCAUAACUGUCAAUAACUGUAGUUUUUUAAGACAACGCAAAUAUACUAAUCGUAGUGUAGAGUCAACCGCUACUAUAAUCAGUGGUUUGUUUGAAAAGGUAUGUAAUAAUAAUGUGUAUGUAUAUAUGUAUAUUUGUUGAACAAAGUUUGUUGUUCCACUUUUGUUAAUGUACAUAGCUAUCCCUUGAGUGGAAAUAAUGUUGUACGUUUACUAUUUAUUGAUAUCAAAAUAAAAAAAAGAUAUUUGUUUUCUUA